rnacentral:rRNA from 1 species
AUUGAACGCUGGCGGCAGGCCUAACACAUGCAAGUCGAACGAGUGGCGGACGGGUGAGUAAUGUCUGGGAAACUGCCUGAUGGAGGGGGAUAACUACUGGAAACGGUAGCUAAUACCGCAUACCAUCAGAUGUGCCCAGAUGGGAUUAGCUAGUCGGUGGGGUAACGGCUCACCAAGUCGACGAUCCCUAGCUGGUCUGAGAGGAUGACCGGCCACACUGGAGCUGAGGCGCGGUCCAGGCUCCUACGGGAGGCAGCAGUGGGGAAUAUAUCACAAUGGGUGAAAGCCUGAUGCAGCCAUGACGCGGUUAUGAAGGAGGCCUUCGGGUUGUAAAGUACUUUCAGAGGGGAGGCGUUACCCGCAGAAGAAGCACCGGCUAACUACGUGCCAGCAGCCGCGGUAAUUC